rnacentral:misc_RNA from 1 species
GAUGAAGAACGUAGUGAAAUGCGAUAAGUAAUGUGAAUUGCAGAAUUCAGUGAAUCAUCGAAUCUUUGAACGCACAUUGCGCCCCUUGGUAUUCCGAGGGGCAUGCCUGUUCGAGCGUCAUUAUAACCCCUCAAGCUCAGCUUGGUGUUGGGGCCUGCUGCACUGGCAGCCCUUAAAAUCAGUGGCGGCGCCAUCCGGCUCUAAGCGUAGUAAUUCUUCUCGCUAUGGAGUCCUGGUGGAUGCUUGCCAUCAACCCCCAAUUUUUCUAUGGUUGACCUCGGAUCAGGUAGGGAUACCCGCUGAACUUAAGCAUAUCAAUAAGCGGAGGA